UUUUCUUUUUCGUCAUGAGAAAUUCUGUCCACCGGCCGAAACAUGCCCCCGUUUGUGUUCUACGUAAAACGCAAUGAUCGAUGUCUACACACUUUUGGCUCCAUCUAUGGGUUAAUCGAUUACGCGAAUAAUCGAUCUUAGAAUUUCUAAUGACAUUUCUGUAACACGCCUAUCGAAAUUUAACAUAUUUAUGCCGACCAUAAACUAGCGAAGGUUCAUUAUUCUAAAAAGUACCGCCAAAUUUAUUAACGUAAUAAUAGAAAUUUCCUAAUACGGUAUUGUUUUUUAUCAAUAUUAUAAAAACGAGGGACACUGACUUUAUAAAAAGAGAGUCGCUGUUUACGCAUCAUGGUAAGUUCCAAUGUUGACAAAGUGAAAAUGCAUGUACUUUGGUGUUGACCUACAUAGAUCGACAAUGCGAUCGAUGAUGGAUCACUGUACAAUUUUCGAAUUCCCGAAACAAGAGAAAGUUUUACAGAAAUAACAGAAUAGAAAACGAACAAUUACUGCAAAAAAUAGUGAGUAUAUUUUUUAGCGUUCCAAAAAUGUAUAAACCCGCGUUGCAAAUAUACACGAAGAACGCACUGGAAAAACCAUCAAUCGUGUUAAGUAAAAUGUUCAACAUUCCAGAAUACAAAAUUCAAUCUUCUUUCUCAUAACAAGUUUCUAAGUAUAUUCAAGAUCCUGUGAUCUAAAUAUUUUACAUUUAAAGCACCGAUAAUGAGCAUUACCUAGGAUGUCGACGGAUUAAGGUCAAUAUUAAAAUACGUCACGAUGAGUUGAAGCACUUCAGGUGGUCCCAUUUUUAUUAUUAAGAAUGCAGAAAAUUAUUGUUAAUGUAUCAAAAAACCAUUGAUUAUUAAUUAAUAAGUUUAAUUUAGGACCAACACAAAGUAUAUAUAUAGGAAAUGUAACAUAACAAGAAGGGCACAAUGUCAUGAGAAAAGUCAACGUCCGAGACGCAUUUGUGCUAUCCCGCACGACUGCACAAGUGCACAAAGAGAGCAUUUGCAACAAAUAUACUUGUCGAUUCUGUUCGGUGAAAGGAGAUAAACAGUAUUAGUUACUUUAAAUCUUGAUUAACCCAGGAAUGAGGAGAUGUCUCCCCGCCGGCAUAGACAGUGCACACUACCACAAGUAUGAUGAUCCAUCUUUCCCACCAUCACUUGCGAAAAGAAUUAAGAUUUCAUAAAAAUAUGACGUCGAAAGUCGUCUCUAAGGAAGUCCCUGUUAAAAACUUUUCGACGACGAUGUACGGAAAACGCUGAUGAAGAAUGAAUGUUAAAUUUAAUGAUUAAAUGCUCAACAAU